CCCGAGCGAGCUCCGCGCGCCCGGGCGGGAGCCGAGGGCUCCCCGGGUUCAAAGGGCGGCGCAGCCCCGAGGGAAUGCCCUCCUCGCUGUGCCCCGGGGGGCAGAAGCGGACUGCAGGGCGGUGGGACCGGCCUGGGCCACGCCCAGAUUUAGUAAUUCUAACUUUUGAAAUCUCCUGUCAUGAAUGAAUCUACACUCUACUCAAUUUCUUGCCCUGCUUUGGAGUUCUGACAUCCCUGCACUGCAUUCCUUCAGGACCGAUGGGCUGAACAGUCUUAAAACCUGGCUGUGGCCAUCCAUUUGGACGACUCCAGCAGACCCACGUGUCCUACGUUUCAACUUUUCUUUCUUUUUGUUUUUUUUUCAAACCUACCCUGUUUGUAAUUCCUCAGCAGGAUUCUGAGCUCUGCUGUUGUAUUUCAGUUUUAGUUAAUCAGAAAGAUUUUGCUCCAGAUUUGCCCUUAGCGCGGGGCUUUAUUAAUCCGAUACGCCUCAUAUUAGUGAGUGCCUGCUUUUAAGCCAUAUGCCCUGAAUAAGUUAUCAGGUUUCAUUGUUUACCCUUAGUUAAAAAAAAAAUUCCAUAUACUCUGACCUCAUGACACCCAAGCCCUGCCCAUGUAGUUAAAACAGGGAAACUAGUCAUCUGAUAUUAUGAAGGCAAAUCAGCUGGUAGAUGCACUCAAAUGUUUCCGUUUCCACUGGUGUGUGGGCAUCGUGGGGAGUCAUAGAUUAUUAAUCAGGAAUGCACAGGAGAUAAUUUCUUGUUUGUGUGUUUGUUCAUU